CCUACGGGAGGCAGCAGUGGGGAAUUUUGGACAAUGGGGGCAACCCUGAUCCAGCAAUGCCGCGUGUGUGAAGAAGGCCUUCGGGUUGUAAAGCACUUUCGGUGGGGACGAACAAGGUCGGGUGAAUAUCCCGGCCCUUGACGGUACCCAAAGAAGAAGCACCGGCUAACUCUGUGCCAGCAGCCGCGGUAAUACAGAGGGUGCAAGCGUUAAUCGGAAUUACUGGGCGUAAAGCGUGCGUAGGUGGUUUGAUAGGUCAGAUGUGAAAUCCCCGGGCUCAACCUGGGAACUGCAUUUGAUACUGUCGAACUCGAGUUCAGUAGAGGGUAGUAGAAUUCCCGGUGUAGCGGUGAAAUGCGUAGAUAUCGGGAGGAAUACCAGUGGCGAAGGCGGCUACCUGGACUGAAACUGACACUGAGGUACGAAAGCGUGGGUAGCAAACAGGAUUAGAUACCCUGGUAGUCCACGCCCUAAACGAUGGGUACUAGACGUCGGGAAGUUUAUCUUCCUGGUGUCGUCGCUAACGCAGUAAGUACCCCGCCUGGGGAGUACGGUCGCAAGAUUAAAACUCAAAUGAAUUGACGGGG
rnacentral:rRNA from 1 species